GUAAAGGGAUAAGUGAUUUUUUUUUGUAUCCUUUCCACUGUGUAAUCAUAUCUUGUACAUGAUAAAUGCCCAAAAAUACUAAAAUCUUCAGACAUGCAUGGAGAAAUGGAAGCACACUAAGAUGCUGGUUGGCUAUAAAAGACGGCACAAGAUGGUGCCUCAGAUUAUAAAUCAGCAUAUAUUAUUCAUUAGUUUACUUUCUUCUCUUUUACAGUCCAAGGUCUCUCCUACUAGAUGCAUGCAUGCCCCAGAGGUGAGCCAGAAGUACCAUGCCUUCCCAAGGCCCACACCAGUCUUUUCUGUUUUCCAAGUUAGGAACUGAGCUCAGGAUCUCAUACAUGCUAGACAGACUCUUACCUCUGAACUCUAACCCUAAUCCCUGUUUAGGCAAGCACACUACCACAUAGCUACAGCCUCAGUCACAAGACCUCAUCUCUUAAAAAUACUUUGGGGGUGGGGGUGGGGAGUGCUGGAGAGGUGGCUGAGGGUUUAGAGCACUGGCUGCUCUUCCAGAGGACAUGGGUGGGUGUGGUUCCCAGGAGCCACAUAACAGUUCACAAUCAUCCUUAACUCCAGUUCUAGGAGACCUGAUUCCCUCUUUGGAGUCUGUGUGCACCAGACACGCAUGCAUGCAGUAUGAGCAAAGCAGCAUUUCUCCAUGGUUUCUGCUUCAGCUCCUGCCUCCAGGUUCCUUUGUGAGCCCCUACCCUGAUUUCCCUCGAUGGUGGCUUCUAACCUGUAAGAUAUAAUAAGCUCUUUCCUCCCCAAGUUGCUUUUGGUCAUGGUUUAUCAGAGUAACAGAGAAGCAAAACUAUUACAGCCAUAUAGGCAGUUAGAAUAGGUAUACAAAUUAAACAUUCAUUGCUAAUAAAUCAUACAUUUAUUUUAACAUAAUUCUUGGAUAUUCAUAGAACUUUACUAUUUACUAAGGAUAAAUGCAAAUGAGCACACUAAUGAGAUGUAUUGCUUAUUUACUGUUUCAUGAAUAAUUAAGUCCUGGCUGAAUAUUUGAUAUUACAGGGCAUAGAGCAUCUUCAGCAUUGGUCACGGUUGAUUGAGAAUUUGAUUUUACAGAUCAUGUUGAGGAGACCACUUUGCAUUCAUAUACAGCACAAAAUGGCAGAGGUCUAUUUAGGGCUGAUUCCAAAAUGGUUGACAAGUCUCUCCUAAUUACAAGGCAAAAUUCAUUUAGCAAUUUUUAUUAAACUCAAGUGAGCAAUGCAAACAGCUGUUUUCAAAUCAAACAUUCUUCUACAAUCCCAUCCAAAAGUAUUUGAUACAUUUGAGGAAUGACUGCAGGAAAAUAUAAAAUGUCUUUGUUCUUUAUAAUUAAACUGACUUUAGACCAGUAUUCAUUUUUAAAGCAUUUAUAUGUGAGUAUUUUGCCUGCGUGUAUGUAUGUAUGUGCAUCACAUUCAUGCUUGGUGUCUGUGGAGGUCAGAAGAGGUCAUCAGCUCCCUUGAAACUAGAGCGAUGGCUGGCUGACCUGGGUCCUCUGCAAGAGAAACAAGUGCUCUUAACCACUGAGUUGAGCCACCUCUCUAGCCCCCAUAUGUUCUUAUAGGAGCAGAAAAUGUUACAUGUAUAGUAAAAACACUGCAGUUUGUAACUUGCAGUAAUCUUGACUCUAAGCUGGUGUUUCACAGUGUCCUUGGUGCGGUAUGGCUGAGGCAUACACAGUUUGUGCAAAGUAUGCAUGUUUGUGUGUUUAGAACCAGGGCUGAGGUGAAGCCGCAUGAUGCAGUACCCACAAAUGCUUUCAGAAAAGCCCGGAUUCAUCAUGCGUUUGAUUUUUAUUCUUGGGCAUUGUGUGCCCAGAAUCCUUUUAUUGUUGCCAUUUGUUGUUUGUUUUUGUUUCUGUUUUUGUUUGUUUGUUUGUUUUUGUGAUGCUCACGUCUAGUUAGAUAACCCCAUUAGGAGUUACAUCCCAUAGUUUAAGAAGCCUUUCUGUAAUCCUGGUGAACAGCAAAGUCCAAGAACUACUGCUUCAAGGAGAACAUAAGGAUCCAAUUAAAUGUCUCAUUUACAUGAUCUUAUGGCUAUGCAACAAUGUUAUAGCUGUGCAACAAUGUUAUAGUUAUGCAGCAAUGUUAUUAGCAAACUAACAUUUAGUAUCUGGUAUAGUAGAAAAUACAGGAAAAAAAAAAGAAGAUAUUUACUCCUCCUGACAGAGAUUUGCUAUAUAAUUUGUAUCCCAGAUUGGCCUUAAACUCAAAGCGGUCUUCCUUGUCUCUGUCUCCGAAGUACUGGGAUAUACGUGAGCGUCACUAUGUCUAGCUCACAAGGAAAUCUAUCUUUCUUUUUUUUUUUUUUCAUGUGUGGGUCUGCAUGUAAGUACGUGUGGGUGGGUGUGGAUGCAUGACAAGGAGAUGUUUCAAUGUUUCUAAAUGUAACUAGAGAUCCGUGCUUAGUAUUUUGAAACUGUCUUUGAAACCAUAAUUAGUGGUAAGUGAUCUUGAAUACUGAUGACGAAUUUCUAUGAAUGCAUUUAGUGUAAAACACAUUGGUUUUAUAAUUAAAGAUUUUAAAAGAACUCACUGAAGGUGGCACCUGUCCAUUCUAAUAUUGCUGUCUACAUAGACUUUAGGCAUAAUCUCCUAUAGUAACAUUUGUGGAUAAUAUUAUGUACUUUGAAUCAUGUACUUAAGUUUUUUCAAUUUUAUUUACAUGUGUGAUUGUGUUAGCGUGCAUGCACUUUGUAUACAUGUGUAUGUAUGCUGUGGUGUGCCUGUGGAGAUAUGAAGAGAACUGUGAAUGUCUUUUUUCUCUAUCAUAUGAAUUUCAGUGAUUGAACUCAGUCACCAUUAGUCUUGGUGGCUUGUGCCUUUACCCACUAGGCCAUCUUGCUGUCCCUGGAACGGUUUAAUUGGAUACUGCAAGUCUUUGCUCCAGGCAGCUCAGAAGAGCACUGAAUUACUGAGGAACACAGAGUGGGUAAAGUGACAGAAAAGGAGUGGGUUCUGUGAAUCUUGAACAGGUCACCGCUCUGCUUGGGUGGCAAUGGAGAGACGACUCAGUGCUGCUCUUCUGGAAGACGUGGGUUUGAUUCCCAGCACCUGCACAGCAGCUAACAACUGUAUGUAACUCCAGUUCCAGGGGAUCAGCUGCCCUCCCUCUUCUAAGCUCUGCUGCACAGACAUGGCACACAGACACCCAUACAUAUAAAAUU
rnacentral:lncRNA from 1 species